rnacentral:rRNA from 1 species
AUUGAACGCUGGCGGCAGGCCUAACACAUGCAAGUCGAGCGGAUGAUGGUGGCUUGCUACCUGAUUCAGCGGCGGACGGGUGAGUAAUGCCUAGGAAUCUGCCUGGUAGUGGGGGACAACGUUUCGAAAGGAACGCUAAUACCGCAUACGUCCUACGGGAGAAAGUGGGGGAUCUUCGGACCUCACGCUAUCAGAUGAGCCUAGGUACGAUUAGCUAGUUGGUGAGGUAAAGGCUCACCAAGGCGACGAUCGUUAACUGGUCUGAGAAGAUGAUAAGUCACACUGGAACUGAGACACGGUCCAGACGCCUACGGGAGGCAGCAGUGGGGAAUAUUGGACAAUGGGCGAAAGCCUGAUCCAGCCAUGCCGCGUGUGUGAAGAAGGUCUUCGGAUUGUAAAGCACUUUAAGUUGGGAGGAAGGGCAGUAAGUUAAUACCUUGCUGUUUUGACGUUACCGACAGAAUAAGCACCGGCCAACUUCGUGCCAGCAGCCGCCGUAAGAC